rnacentral:rRNA from 1 species
AUGGAGCUCCCAUGGCUUCUCCUUCCCACAGCUAUUCUCCUUCCUGUCGUUUUAUUCCUCCUCUCAAUUGCAUGGAACCGCCGCUUACCGCCGGGGCCGGCCAGCCUGCCUUGGCUUGGAAACUUGCUAUAUUUACAGCACUUUGACGAAGACUCCAUGGACAUCCUGAACGCUGAGAGGCGCCUCCAUGCGCGCUACGGCCCGGUUCUCGGCCUCCAAGUGGGCAACCGCCUGCAGGUUAGCGUGGCAGACCGCUACCUCGCCCACACUGCGCUGGUCGGCCAUGGCACCGCCCUGGCUGAUCGGCCGGACUACGCCGUGCGCAACUUCGGUGGCCUGAACGCCAUCACCAUCACGUCCGCCAACUACGGCCCAAUCUGGCGCCUCUUCCGUAGAAACUUGGUGGCUGAGAUCGCGCACCCGGCCAGGCUCCGGCUGUUCGCGCCGCUGCGGGCGUCCGUGCUUGCUGACAUGACGGACAAGCUAUGGCGCCAGCAGCAGGAAGCAGGAAACACGGGCGUCGCCGUCAGGGACACCUUUCUGCUCGCCAUGUUCCACCUCUUGGUGGCCAUGUGCUUCGGCGAGCGGGUUGACGAUGGCGUUGUGCGCGAGAUUAUCUCUGCGCUGCGUGAGCUCAUGAUCUACUCCUUGACCAAGCUGAGGGUCUUGGACUACCUCCCGGCGGUCACGACGCGCCUCUUCCGCGGCCGACUGGAUGCCAUGCACGCUAUGCGCAGCAAGCUCAAGGAGAUGUACUUGCCCUUGAUCGAUGCCCGGAGGGAGCGCAAGAAGCUGCUUUCCAGCAGCCAACCGCCGUCUCCUCAGAAUCAGGAUGAGACGAGGACGUUGCCGCACUGCUACGUGGACUCGUUGCUCGACCUCAGGCUCGACUCCGAGAGCGGCCGCCCUCUCACUGACGACGAGGUACUUGCCAUGUGCUCCGAGCUGCUGAUACAAGGGACAGACACCACAGCCACGGCGCUAGAGUGGAUCAUGGCCGAGCUGGUGAAGAAUCAGCACGUCCAGGACAAGCUCUUCGAUGAGAUCUCAAUUGGUACAGAUCCCGACGAUCUACACCGGCCAGAGGGCCUGCACAAGAUACAGUACCUCCGGGCGGUGGUGCUUGAGGGCCUCCGGCGCCACCCACCCGGGCACCAGGUGGUGAUGCACGCUGCGGCUGAGGACAUGGAGAUCGGUGGGUGCGUGAUCCCCAGGGGCACGCCAGUGAACUUCAUGGUGGCCGACAUGGCCCUGGAUGAGAAGACUUGGGACCGGCCACGAGAGUUCCUACCGGAGCGGUUCCUCGCGGGAGGUGACGGCGAUGGGGUUGACAUCACCGGCACCAAGGAGAUCAAGAUGAUGCCAUUCGGAGCCGGGCGGAGGAUCUGUCCGGGGCUAGGCGUCGCCACCAUGCACCUCGAGUACUUAGUGGAGAACCUAGUGCGUGCGUUUUACUGGCGGGCGGUUGAAGGGGAAGAGGUGGACGUCGUCUCUGAGGAGGCCCAGUUCACCGUCGUCAUGAAGAAACCGCUCUGUGUUCGCCUCGUGCAGAGAGCUGCCAUUUAA